UUUCCCCCUAAUUAGCUGUUUAUCUAACGAAUAACCUUUAAAGACACAAAGUAAAGGCAGAUUGUUCUCAGAAAUCUCCCCGAGCAGUGCAAGCGUACCCUGCGUGAUCUUAUGCCCCACUCUUAUAGGAAAAUUUGCUUUGAACUCACAAAUAAUACUCCCACAUAUGGGCCUCUGGACAGGAAAUUGUGUUUUGUUUCCUCUAAAUCACUGCAUUUCCAAAACAACGUUGUUUUUCAGAAGCGGCCAUCUGUUAACUCCUAAAUGCCAAGGAAAUGUCACUGUUUCAGAUAUGAUAAAUAAAGAGUUAAUUGAGUGCGAGACCCUUUUAGUUUUCAGUCAGAAUGCAAAACCGAUCGGACGAUAAAGAGCUCAGGCUCACGGCAUCAACUGGCAGUCGCCCAGAAUUCCUCCUCCUGCUGCUGGAGCAGAUCUCUCGAGGACCAUGUGUAACCGUUCCGGCUGUUAGCUAGCACCACCAGCUACCCAGCUGAUGCUAUCUGCUCAUUCUAUGAUGCGAGCUUGAACACCGUGAGCGACAUCGUCCGAUGGCUUUCGCAGAGAGGACUCUGGUGAGAAACAGAUCAUCAUCCACUACCUGCCCCAUGGAUGAUCUCGUCAGAUUCUCGUCAGAUUCCAGUGACAAGCCCACCAUCUCCCCAUGGUGUAGAGCAUCAGUCCAAGCCUACUGAUGAUGGAGAGCCCAUUACUGCCGUGAUCAAUAAGCCAGCACAAUUCAGAGCGACUGAGCAGAAAAUUGCCUCAGAUUUGGAGCCCCACCCAUCAAACCAGGUGCUGGAGAUGGUGACAGAGCCCACUGCCAGGGAACAAGCCGUGGACGGUGGAGUUCCACCCACUGCACUGUAGAUAAGGAUGAGCUAAUUAUACAUCUGGGGCUGCUGGACUAAGGUGACUUAAUGGACUAGAAAACAUGUCUGGAGGUCGACUUGCCCCCUUUCCUCUCUCCUUUGUCCCUGUUGGUCCUGUCCAGCCCUGAGGGGGAUCCCAUUUCCCAGUCCAGCCAGUAGUGGGCCCUGAUUCCCGAAGGGCAGCCCUGAGAGCCCAGAGGCUCACGAAUGCCCACCUACCCGCUCCUCCACCACUGUCAUCUGGCAGCCUCUCUGCUCACCCUCCCUACAUCGUCACCUCCCUGGUCCCCCCCGGUGUUCUACGGUGUGAGGAUGCACAUUUAUCCACAACCACUACAGUAUAUAUGCAUAUAUAGUAUUGUGUAGUGUAUGCAUAUAUACUGUAUGGUAUUGUCUAUAUAGUUUUUGUUCCUUCAUUUAUGUUCCUCACUGAGGCUUAAACAAGAACUUCAUAUUAAAACAAAUGUCUUCCCUGAUUUAACAGCAUGCAAAACCAGAAACCAUAACGUGACUCAGUAAAGUCAAAACUGUUUGGCCGAGACUCAUUGUGAGUCAGUUUGUUUGUAACCAGCUGUUUUGUUUUGUGGGCUGAAUGGCAUUAAAAUGCAACUGUAUCCCACUUCAAUAUCAGCAUGCGUGAACCUCCUCCACAAAACAAACAAGUUCUGCUUCUAGCGAGGAAGUCCAUAAAACCCAAAUUUCAGAAAAAGACCAUAAACUAAUUCAUAAGGAAGCUAAGUCUGACUAAAAGACUAGUUUCACCUGCAGCCUCUGAUAUUCAAAUGAUGUGGUUCAUGACCUUGUUUUAACAGAAAAACAGUGAGUAAGAAUCCUGUUCAGAAUUUAGCUUAGUUUCAUCUGAUUGAAAUAUGACAACAGAAACUGACUCAUAACUUGAAAUAUUCUGUCUAUCUUAGCUAUAGGUUAUCUUUGAUCAACGUAAGGGUCUUUCCCCAAAAUGAAGUAAAGACUCCUGGUUUUAUGAAAAUUCACAGUUUUUAAGUUUUAGACAUUCGACUUUGUUUAUGUCAAGCUACUGUGGGAAUUCAAAGAAAACAUAGCAAUGCCUGCAUGUUAAAUGUGUGUCAAAUUUUGUGUUGCGUUCAAUUAAAUUGUUAAAAUACAUAAAUA